rnacentral:rRNA from 1 species
UACGAAGGGGGGCUAGCGUUGCUCGGAAUCACUGGGCGUAAAGCGCACGUAGGCGGAUUGUUAAGUCAGGGGUGAAAUCCUGGAGCUCAACUCCAGAACUGCCUUUGAUACUGGCGAUCUCGAGUUCGGGAGAGGUGAGUGGAACUGCGAGUGUAGAGGUGAAAUUCGUAGAUAUUCGCAAGAACACCAGUGGCGAAGGCGGCUCACUGGCCCGAUACUGACGCUGAGGUGCGAAAGCGUGGGGAGCAAACAGG